UAAGGGAUAUUGCACAAUGGGCGCAAGCCUGAUGCAGCAACGCCGCGUGUCCGAUGAAGGCCUUCGGGUCGUAAAGGACUUUUCUGGCUGACGAGAUGGACUGUAGGCCAGGAAUAAGUGUCGGCUAACUACGUGCCAGCAGCCGCGGUAAAACGUAGGACGCAAGCGUUAUCCGGAGUUACUGGGCGUAAAGCGCGGGCAGGCGGCUCGAUGCGUCUGAUGUGAAAUCUCCUCGCUCAACGGGGAGAGGCCAUUGGAAACGGUCGAGCUGGAGGGCAGUAGAGGCAGGCGGAAUUCCGGGUGGAGUGGUGAAAUGCGUAGAGAUCCGGAGGAACACCAGAGGCGAAGGCGGCCUGCUGGGCUGCACCUGACGCUGAGCCGCGAAAGCCAGGGGAGCGAACGG
rnacentral:rRNA from 1 species